UGCCAGGACUGACCAAGACCAUCAGGCUUGUGACAGAAUGAAACAUCAUUUUCACACAUGGAUUAGCCUCCAUAAAGUCCAGACUCUAAUUUGGGAUGCGAUGAAGACUCGAUGCAGUGGUCCAAUUCUUCAUCAUCAA